UAAAAUCAUUCUUAUUUCGAGCUUAUAUUAGAUAGUGCCACGAGUAAAAUAAUUACUAAUAAUAUAAUAAAUUUGAAUUUAAAUUCCAAAUGCAAUUCGCAUGGGUGAUGGUAUUCAGAAUUAUUAGGGACUGUAUUGAUUCCUGUGUACUGUACUACUGUUUUAUAUGUCCAAAAAUUUUCAGAAUUAAUCAGUCCAUUAUGUUAUUAGGAAACCUAGAACAGCCUAACAAUAUACAGUGUGUUUAUCUUGAUCUUCAUUGGAGAUAACGUUUGUGUUAUUUAUAAUAUAUUGUAAUGACAGCCUUUAUACGUAGAAGAUGAAAAAGAAAAAGGUAGAAAUCAACAUCAAUUUAAUGAUAUUCAGUGCCUUAAACUUUUUCCAAGGAAAAUAUGAUCUUGAAUGAUACAUGAAAUUUCGUUGAGACAGUUAGAUUGGUGUGCUCCAUUUUAAUUAGAUACUAUCAUUUUGAUUUCUAGAAUGUCGGUAAUUUUUUUUUAUGUUGCUUUCCUCCAAGAAUGGGACCUUGUGGUAUCUUUCUUUUCAACUGAUUGUAGUUUUGGGUUAUUAAUCAAAUAAUACAAGAAUUCUUUCUCCCUAAACUCUCUCCUCUCUCGAUCUCUCUGUUUCUUCCUUUCUUCUUCUUCUUCUUUAUAAUAUCAUGUUGACUUAAC
rnacentral:misc_RNA from 1 species